UGAGGAAUAUUGGUCAAUGGGCGAGAGCCUGAACCAGCCAAGUAGCGUGCAGGAUGACGGCCCUAUGGGUUGUAAACUGCUUUUAUGUGGGGAUAAAGUGCGUGACGUGUCAUGCAUUGCAGGUACCACAUGAAUAAGGACCGGCUAAUUCCGUGCCAGCAGCCGCGGUAAUACGGAAGGUCCGGGCGUUAUCCGGAUUUAUUGGGUUUAAAGGGAGCGUAGGCUGUCUAUUAAGCGUGUUGUGAAAUUUACCGGCUCAACCGGUGGCUUGCAGCGCGAACUGGUCGACUUGAGUAUGCAGGAAGUAGGCGGAAUUCAUGGUGUAGCGGUGAAAUGCUUAGAUAUCAUGACGAACUCCGAUUGCGCAGGCAGCUUACUGUAGCAUAACUGACGCUAUGCUCGAAAGUGCGGGUAUCAAACAGG
rnacentral:rRNA from 1 species